CCUACGGGGAGCAGCAGUAGGGAAUCUUUCACAAUGGGCGAAAGCCUGAUGGAGCAACGCCGCGUGCAGGAUGAAGGCCUUCGGGUUGUAAACUGCUUUUAUAAGCGAGAAAUAUGAUGGUAACUUAUGAAUAAGGAUCGGCUAACUACGUGCCAGCAGCCGCGGUCCUACGUAGGAUCCGAGCAUUAUCCGGAUUGACUGGGUGUAAAGAGUUGCGUAGGUGGCAUAAUAAGUAGCUAGUGAAAUCUGUUGGCUCAACCAUUCAGACUAUUAGCUAAACUGUUAAGCUCGAGACCGUUAGGGGUAACUGGAAUUUCGAGUGUAGGAGUGAAAUCCGUAGAUAUUAGAAAGAACACCAAUAGCGUAGGCAGGUUACUGGGACGGGUCUGACACUAAGGCACGAAAGCGUAGGGAGCAAACGGGAUUAGAUACCCCUGUAGUC
rnacentral:rRNA from 1 species